CAAAAGGGCCUAUAAAGAGUCUGUACAGUAAAAAAUAAAUGUACAGGUCACAAUGUAUGAAAGUGAAAAUAAACAGUGUUUUCUUGGCUGACUCCGGGAACAAAGCUAAGACAACUGGAGAAACAAUAUAGCAGAAGAGUUAAUGGUGUGAUGUCAAGAGACUGCCCCAGGAAUGUGAACAGACACUUUAAAAAGUAAUGAGCUCUCUCUCUGGUCCACUAACUUCAGCAUUUAAGGCAGAGACUCAAUAUUCAAACAUCUGUGGAGAGUAAUUCCAGCAUCAGUUUGGAAGCUAUACUAGGUUGAUCUUUGGACAAUCCAGACCCACAGAAACAGGUUCUCACUUUGUCAACCAGGCUGGAAUGCAGUGGUGCAAUUGCAGCUCACUGCAGCCUCAAACUCCUGGGCUCAAGCAAUCCUCCCACCUGAGCUUCCCGAAGCACUGGGAUUACAAGUGUGAGCCACUGCACCAGCCUAAUUUGUAAUAUUUGCAUUGGAAAGUAGAAGCAGCCUGCCUCUCAGUGCCCCAGAUUUGAAAAAGCAAGUUACAAUCACGUGUCAUUACAAUGAAUUAUUUUGGAUAUGAAAGAGGAAGACAGGACACCUUAUGAGAGGAGCUGCAGUGAGGAGGCUGCAUUGUGGCCCUUUCUUUUUAAAAAUGUGUAUAUUCAAGAUGUACAACAUAAUAUUUUGAUGUAUUAUACAUAGUGAAAUGAUUGGGUGGGGGUGGGGGAGACUGAGGGCAGAGAGGUGUGAGGGACGUCCUUUACUCCUGGAGUAUGUGAAAUAGAGCACAGGAGGAAAUCUCAUGCGUAAGAGAGCUGACAAACCAGUAUGGACACUGCCCAAUUAUCACUUAAUGUUUCCUUGAA
rnacentral:lncRNA from 10 species